ncrna:unclassified sequences Hairpin-meta2 ribozyme sequence
UAAACGGAUAUCGUAAUCCGGUGCUGUGUGUGGUACCUGGUUUGGAUACCAGAGAGGUUAGGAGACAGCUUCUAAAGAUUUAUCUUGGCGAGGGGAAACCCAGGGUAGCUCCCAUCUGAGUACGUCGCAUCCUAACAUGCCAAUCCGGAGAAUGGGGUGAAACUCCUCUGAAAUCCGGUGUUGCUUCAUUCCACACGAAGCACAAACAAACAGAAACACCGGGGAAUUUGUCGAUCCUUGGGUACAUUAAGUUUGA